rnacentral:rRNA from 1 species
CACGUAGGGCGCGAGCGUUGUCCGGAAUUAUUGGGCGUAAAGAGCUCGUAGGCGGCCUGUUGCGUCCGCUGUGAAAGCCCGGGGCUUAACCCCGGGUCGGCAGUGGAUACGGGCAGGCUAGAGGUAGGUAGGGGAGAAUGGAAUUCCCGGUGUAGCGGUGAAAUGCGUAGAUAUUGGAAAGACCACCAAUGGCGAAGGCACCCUACUGGGCCAUUACUGACACUGAGAGACGAAAGCUAGGGGAGCAAAUGGG